AUUUAAAUAAUUUAAUUAAAAUAUUGAUUUGUGGAGUCAAAAAUAUGAUAUAAUCAUUUUAAGUU
rnacentral:tRNA from 6 species